rnacentral:rRNA from 1 species
GACGAACGCUGGCGGCGUGCUUAACACAUGCAAGUCGAACGGAAAGGCCUCUUUCGGGGGGUACUCGAGUGGCGAACGGGUGAGUAACACGUGAGUAACCUGCCCUUGACUUUGGGAUAACUUCAGGAAACUGGGGCUAAUACCGGAUAGGAGCUCCUGCUGCAUGGUGGGGGUUGGAAAGUUUCGGCGGUUGGGGAUGGACUCGCGGCUUAUCAGCUUGUUGGUGGGGUAGUGGCUUACCAAGGCUUUGACGGGUAGCCGGCCUGAGAGGGUGACCGGCCACAUUGGGACUGAGAUACGGCCCAGACUCCUACGGGUGGCAGCAGUGGGGAAUAUUGCACCAUGGGUGGAAGCCUGAUGCAGCAACGCCGUGUGCGGGAUGACGGCCUUCGGGUUGUAAACCGCUUUCGCUCAUGACGAAGCUUUGUGUGACGGUAGUGGGUAAAGAAGCACCGGCUAACUACGUG